AGUUUGAUCCUGGCUCAGAUUGAACGCUGGCGGCAUGCUUUACACAUGCAAGUCGAACGGUAACAGGGAGCUUGCUCCGCUGACGAGUGGCGAACGGGUGAGUAAUGCAUCGGAACGUGCCGUGUAAUGGGGGAUAACGUAGCGAAAGUUACGCUAAUACCGCAUACGCCCUGAGGGAGAAAGCGGGGGACCGUAAGGCCUCGCGCGAUUGGAGCGGCCGAUGUCGGAUUAGCUAGUUGGUAGGGUAAAGGCCUACCAAGGCGACGAUCCGUAGCGGGUCUGAGAGGAUGAUCCGCCACACUGGGACUGAGACACGGCCCAGACUCCUACGGGAGGCAGCAGUGGGGAAUUUUGGACAAUGGGCGAAAGCCUGAUCCAGCCAUGCCGCGUGAGUGAAGAAGGCCUUCGGGUUGUAAAGCUCUUUCAGCCGGAAAGAAAUCGCGCAGGAUAAUACUCUGCGUGGAUGACGGUACCGGAAGAAGAAGCACCGGCUAACUACGUG
rnacentral:rRNA from 1 species